UACGGAGGGGGCAAGCGUUGUCCGGACUUACUGGGCGUAAAGGGUGCGUAGGCGGCCCCUUUUGUCGCGUGUGAAAGCCCCGGGCUCAACCUGGGAGGUGCGCGCGAAACGGGGGGGCUUGAGUUCGGGAGAGGAGCGUGGAAUUCCCAGUGUAGAGGUGAAAUUCGUAGAUAUUGGGAAGAACACCGGUGGCGAAGGCGGCGCUCUGGACCGAGACUGACGCUGAGGCGCGAAAGCGUGGGGAGCAAACAGG
rnacentral:rRNA from 1 species